rnacentral:misc_RNA from 1 species
UCCUCGUCCCGGCCGUGAACCGGACGUUAGGGCUUCCCCGAUAUGAGCUGGUGUUUCCUCAGGGGAUUACUCCCCUGGGGGCCAAUUUCACUUAGCCAUGCAGCACCUGUGCUAGCCCCUUACGGACACGGGCUUUCACCCGCUUUAACUAGCAUGUCAAACCCAGGUAAGGUUCUUCGCGUUGCAUCGAAUUAAGCCACAUGCUCCGCCGCUUGUGCGGGUCCCCGUCAAUUCCUUUGAGUUUUAGCCUUGCGGCCGUACUCCCCAGGCGGAGUGCUUAAUGCGUUAGCUGCGGCACAGAGAGGGUUGAAGGCCUCCCCACACCUAGCACUCAACGUUUACGGCUGGGACUAC